CUCGGCAUUGCCGGGCUGCGGCGGCUGGCGUUCUCGCCGCUGGGCUAUGCGUUGCGCGGCGUGCGCGAUUCGGGCCUGCGGGCCGAGGC
rnacentral:tRNA from 1 species